rnacentral:lncRNA from 1 species
GAAAUUUGUGAGACAAAAAGGUGUCUCAUACAAUUACUGUAAGUUGUAUAAGACACAAAAUAAAAUUUCUUUACAUUAAUAGUAACUAUAAUGAAGUUUAAGCAAAAUGUAAAGACUUUUGACUAAUAAUUCCUAUAGUCUGAUACCUGCAGAAAGCUAGCUAGUCUGCUAGUGCAAGGGAUUCAAGAAAUAAAGCGCAGUUUGGUGCACUAAGCUUUUGCAAUGUGUGAUGUUCGAGGAAUGGUCUGACCAUAAGGGCCUAUCAUACGUAAUCUUACCCUACAUUUAUGCAAGAAAUUAUUUUCACGAAUCGAACCCGUGACCUCCUGCGCAACUUUACCAACCACGCCAAGGCUCCUCUUCAAGGGAUUCAAGAAAUGAAAGAUUAAAUCUCUUCAAAGAUCAGAUGGAAGUUGCCUCCAAGCGCUAGCCCAGGCAAAUCAACUUAUCUGAGAUGAUCAAGAAGACUCUCAAACCAUAAGAAAAAAAAAGAAAAUGUGAAUAAACAUGGAUUUUGUGAAUCCUUUCUUAGUAGAAAAUGCCAAUAUUGUUGAACCCCUGAUCAUGAGGUUCUUUGGCAAGAUUAAUGACAGAUAUCUGAGAAGUGAGCACUAUAUAUCCUAAGCAUCUUGAUUGACGUACAAGUCUAACCUGCACAACCAAAUAUGGUCCGACCCUUUCCCUGACUCCAUACAUAAUGGAAGCUCAGUGCACCAAGUUGCAUUUGAUGUAACAUGGAUAAAUAUACUAAUUUACAUCAACCUUUCAAAAGCAAUAUAUAUACAUAAUGCAAAAGUUGAAUGUACUCGUAUCCAACAUGCAUGUACCUGUACCCAACACCACUACAAGCCCGAGUGCAUGUCACAUAGAAGGAAGGAAGCUACAUGAUUGUAGUCGCCGGAUGCUGAUAUCUCCAAGUUGACCAUAAUAGAUCAAUAUAUAGGCAAAACAAUUUAUAAUAGUCUGUUCUCGCCUAUUGAUAGUCCAAACUCAAAACUAAACUGUUCUUCCGUUCCUUAUCAAUUAGCCAGCAUCAUUAAUGAUUUCCUUUAGGGACUGGAAGAUAAUUAAACUGAGUCUAAUUAUUGUUCAUCUUCCUAGU